rnacentral:rRNA from 1 species
UACGGAAGGGGCUAGCGUUGUUAGGUAUUACUGGGCGUAAAGUGCACGUAGGCGGCCUUGUAAGAUGGGGGUGAAAUCCCCGGGCUCAACACGGGAACUGCCUUCAUGACUGCAAAGCUAGAGGAUGCGAGAGGUUAGCGGAAUUCCGAGUGUAGAGGUGAAAUUCGUAGAUAUUCGGAAGAACACCAGUGGCGAAGGCGGCUAACUGGCGCAUUUCUGACGCUGAGGUGCGAAAGCGUGGGGAGCAAACAGG